CGUAGGUGGCAAGCGUUGUCCGGAAUUAUUGGGCGUAAAGCGCGCGCAGGCGGUCCUUUAAGUCUGAUGUGAAAGCCCACGGCUCAACCGUGGAGGGUCAUUGGAAACUGAGGGACUUGAGUGCAGAAGAGGAAAGCGGAAUUCCACGUGUAGCGGUGAAAUGCGUAGAGAUGUGGAGGAACACCAGUGGCGAAGGCGGCUUUCUGGUCUGUAACUGACGCUGAGGCGCGAAAGCGUGGGGAGCAAACAGGAUUAGAUACCCUGGUAGUCCACGCCGUAAACGAUGAGUGCUAAGUGUUAGAGGGUUUCCGCCCUUUAGUGCUGCAGCUAACGCAUUAAGCACUCCGCCUGGGGAGUACGGCCGCAAGGCUG
rnacentral:rRNA from 1 species